GACGUAGGGCGCGAGCGUUGUCCGGAUUUAUUGGGCGUAAAGAGCUCGUAGGCGGCUUGUCGCGUCGACUGUGAAAGCCCGGGGCUCAACCCCGGGAGGCGGGUGGAUACUGUCAAGCUCGAGUCCGGAAGAGGAGUGUGGAAUUCCUGGUGUAGCGGUGAAAUGCGCAGAUAACAGGAGGAACACCAAUGGCGAAGGCAGCACUCUGGGACGUGACUGACGCUGAGACGCGAAAGCGUGGGGAGCAAACAGG
rnacentral:rRNA from 1 species